AGGAGGAACAACCGCAGUGGCGGGGCCAGCUCUGCAGCCCUGGAGUCAGCCCCCGCAGUAGCUCCAGAGCUCUCUGUCUGCAGGGCCUGGAGGCUCCGGGCGGGG
rnacentral:pre_miRNA from 1 species